UACGAAGGGGGCUAGCGUUGCUCGGAAUCACUGGGCGUAAAGCGCACGUAGGCGGCUUUUUAAGUCAGGGGUGAAAUCCUGGAGCUCAACUCCAGAACUGCCUUUGAUACUGGGAAGCUUGAGUCCGGAAGAGGUGAGUGGAACUCCGAGUGUAGUGGUGAAAUGCGUAGAUAUCGGGAGGAACACCAGUGGCGAAGGCGGGUCUCUGGGCCGAUACUGACGCUGAGGAGCGAAAGCGUGGGGAGCGAACAGG
rnacentral:rRNA from 1 species